UCAGAGGGCCCAGGGCUAUCAGCAACCCACCAGGGAUCUGCUAUUGAUGGCAACACAAACUUAGACAUUGGACAGUGUUGUAUUGACAGCAAGCUCAGUUUUAGCAGUAACAGAACAGACAAAAAUAAAGGCAUCUAACACCUUUAUUACCUAACAUUUGGCCAUCUUUUCUGCUGUAUAUAGAGUAUGAGUUUUAGCAGGAAUAACUCCAGCUGGAAGCUUUACUUGCUCAUGAUGGACUUGCUCAUCCUGACUUACUGCUGCAGAAGCAUAGAUUCUGGAAUGGAUUAUCACAUUCUCCUCCUACCCCCAGGCUGCACAUUUUUGUCAGCUGGUACACAGCAAAGUUUAGUUUCCCAACUAGACCAAGGAUCAGAGAAUGUGGCACUGAGUAACAGGUAUGGAUUGCCACAGUGUGAACUGGAAUUAUAAGCCAGCAUGGAGAGGACAAAAUUACACAGUAACUGGAUUUUUAGGGAGAAGCUUGAAAGCAAAAGAAGUCUAACAUUCACCCUGCACAGGAACUGAGAAGCCAAUGAAGUUCAGAUGACCAUUAUUAAAAGGUUUGAUAGUU